rnacentral:rRNA from 1 species
UACGGGGGGAGCAAGCGUUGUUCGGAUUUACUGGGCGUAAAGGGCGCGUAGGCGGCCACCGCAAGUCGACUGUGAAAUCUCCGGGCUUAACCCGGAAAGGUCAGCCGAUACUGCGGGGCUAGAGUUCGGCAGGGGAGACUGGAAUUCUCGGUGUAGCGGUGAAAUGCGUAGAUAUCGAGAGGAACACCUGCGGCGAAGGCGGGUUGCUGGGCCGACACUGACGCUGAAGCGCGAAAGCCAGGGGAGCGAACGGG